UAAACAAGUAUGCUUCCUAAUGGAGCAGCGAUGUAACUUCGAAACAACGUUAAGCGGAAGGACGUUAAGUGAGGAGUUACUGUAUAUUAUUUUACAUCAGAAU